ACAACUCUAGACGGGGGAUCACUCGGCUCGUGCG
rnacentral:rRNA from 1 species